GCUUCCUACGGGAGGCAGCAGUGGGGAGUUUUGGACAAUGGGCGAAAGCCUGAUCCAGCAAUGCCGCGUGCAGGAUGAAGGCCCUCGGGUUGUAAACUGCUUUUGUACGGAACGAAAAGCCUGGGGCUAAUAUCCCCGGGUCAUGACGGUACCGUAAGAAUAAGCACCGGCUAACUACGUGCCAGCAGCCGCGGUAAUACGUAGGGUGCAAGCGUUAAUCGGAAUUACUGGGCGUAAAGCGUGCGCAGGCGGUUUUGUAAGACAGUGGUGAAAUCCCCGGGCUCAACCUGGGAACUGCCAUUGUGACUGCAAAGCUAGAGUGCGGCAGAGGGGGAUGGAAUUCCGCGUGUAGCAGUGAAAUGCGUAGAUAUGCGGAGGAACACCGAUGGCGAAGGCAAUCCCCUGGGCCUGCACUGACGCUCAUGCACGAAAGCGUGGGGAGCAAACAGGAUUAGAUACCCUGGUAGUCCACGCCCUAAACGAUGUCAACUGGUUGUUGGGUCUUAACUGACUCAGUAACGAAGGUAACGCGUGAAGUUGACCGCCUGGGGAGUACGGCCGCAAGGUUGAAACUC
rnacentral:rRNA from 1 species